CACAAACACAUCCAGAAGCUACAAAUCCCAGAGAAGUUUAGAAGCACAUUUCUGCUUUCUUCUUAUAACUUUUUCUCUCUUCACUGUUUGUGCCUAAAUAUGACUGAUUUUGAAUGAAUGGUCCAAAAUCAGCGGCAGAAGACCCCCUUGGAGCAGCACGGAGAAUCUGGCUCUCCCGUCCUGCCCUUCGGGGCUGGAUGUGAACCACAUUUAAGCAAAGCAGGGCGGCUCACCCACCCCGCAGGCAGCCCCGGUCUGCAGCUCUGGGGAGGGCUGAAUGCCUCAUUCAUCUCAGUCUUAACUCUGAGGCCUACAGAUGAUAUUUUAAGGAAGAAUUUUGCAGGUAAUCAGCCUUGGUUCGAUACACUGCCAAGUAAAAAUAAGGAUUUGUUGACGGAUGCAGGGGAACGUCUCGCAGUGCUGAAUGCGCCAAGGACUCCACCUUCACACGGCAGCCCUGGAGCAAAACCGAUUUUCGUGCCUGCACAGAGUAUCGCUUCCAUAAGAAGGUGCAUCCUUCCAUUUGGAGACAAAAACAUUUAUUUUUUACGUUCCUCUGCUUCUCCUUCCACUGCUUUCAUCCUGAGCAUGGGCGACCUCCACCCCGUCAGCAGGUGAGGCAGUUUCCGUGCAGGCACAGCGCUGCGCUUCCUCCCCCCGCACCGCGCUCCUGCCAUUAACAGGUGGCGAAUGAAGCUGGCUUCACUCAUAUGUUUUGCAUCAAUUUGCAUCAUCUACUACAAAGCUAUUACAAAUGAAUCUGUCAAGCCUCGCUGGCACCUCUCAGGAUAAAUGAUGCGGAUCGGGAGCCGGUGCCCACCGCGCCAUCCACCAGCGCCUUCAGCCUGAGGAAUGUCUCCGCAAACAUCUGUUGGAGCUCGAGGAGAGAUGGCAGAAGGGGGAAGGGCAAAUCCCCAGUAAUGGAUGUUCUUGGAGUUUUUGGGAGCUCGGUAGGAGAGAGGAAGUGGGGCAGUCGCUCAUCACUCGAGCCAGCUCGGAGAAAGAGCUGGCCAGACAAACCCUGAGGAUGGAGGGAGCUGCUGGACCGUUCAUGGGAUCAGGAUGCUGCUUGGAGCAGGACCACUGCAGGGGCUAGGUUUAUUGGAGAGCGUUUGCCAAGAGCGUUUUUCGCUGGGCGCAGCUGGGAAGGACAGACGCGGAUCUGUGCGGGUGUCCAAGAGGAUGGCGUUCCCUGCAGUGCUGCUGACAGCGAGGGGGCUGAGACGACUUCAUCUCUUCAAAGGCAGCUCUUUUGCUGGAGUAACACUUUCUUCAGUUGGAAAAUGGUGAAAAUAAAGUCAGAAAGAGGGUGAUCAGGAUCUUCACCAUACCAGGCUUCAUGGUGGUGUGUUUCUGUCUCCUCAAUCCAUGCAAUGGCAGCUGUUGUGAAGCCCUGACCUGUGUCACUUAUGUUUCAGCUGGAAACUCGCAACGGUGACCUCAAGCCUACUGAAAUAUCCAUCAGCCCCUGCUUUGGGCUAUCAGAGCAGUUCAUUUUUGGGUGUGUAGGCAGCUGAGACAAGUUAGGGUUCUCCCACCUACAGCCAUACCCUAGAGCCACUUCUGCCCUUUUCAUCUUUAAGUCCUAGGUAAUGAAAAUAAAUAUUUCGAGGUCUAUAAUAAUGACACGGAAUGGGAUGUUUUGAUCAUAUUAAUUGCUCAGGCUGUUGCAAUACUGGAUCACAAAUCAAUGUUUCCCCAGUGGCUGGCUCAGCCUCCCCGUGCACGUUUAAACAGAUGUGACCUUGAUGAGGAGAGAUACUGGGGGCUCGAGGCAAGCUUGCAAGACAGAUGAAUGUGCUCUGGCAGAUUUAUGAGGAGUUAUUCCUCGGUGUAGAAAAGUCCAUCUUCUUUCACCUAAACGCUCCUCCAAAAGUGACUUUUCCUGUGUACAAAGCACGAGCAGUCUGCAAAGCUAGUGACAAUGUCAGGAGGUCUUUAAGGAAAAAUGUUUCCUUGGGUUAGAGCACAGGGGCAGCAAAGCGAGAACAGAGGUGUGAUUCAUUCAGAACAAGGUGUCCUCGUUCAUUUAUAGCUCUCCACGUAAAGGAUAUCCUGCUCGGACAAUGUGGGCACUUUCUUUUAAUCUGUCCUUGCAUCACAAGAGAUCUUGGGUUUCUUCCUGUGCAACUGAGACUCUUUCAUUUAGUGUCACCUUCUGUCAUGCCAAGAAAACCCACAGCAGCCUGUGGGGUUGAAAGGGGUGUCUGUAAACACGUGUUUACUGAAACUGCUGGUAAACCAGCCUCUGAGUCAUCCUCUCCUCGGGCUGUGUGUUUCAAUUCUUCCUCGUCUCAGGCAAUAACAUCAGGCUCUCGCUAGUUCCUGAUAAAAUUAGGGAUUAAAUGCUCAAAUACCGUGUGUAUGCAUGAGAGAGGGCAAGAUAGAGGUAGGAGGUCUGCUUGGGGUGAAAAUGCUUUGCCUCUUUAACCUUCUGAAAAGAAACAGCUGAAGUAACUUAGUAAAUACUAAUAACAGGCCUAAGGAUGAUGUAUUUAAAACCUUUAAUUAGCAUCAGUGCUGCCUGGGACCUAUCUGCUCCUUGUUGACUUAGGAAGGGCCACGUGCUGAACAGGACGUGUUCUGCUGCAUCCACCCUGCAGUCCCUGCCCCUGGGAGCCUCUUGCAGCUGCAUCUCAUGAUGCCAGAGCCAAUCCUCUGGAUUCAAACCUGGGAUGACUUUGCCUCUCGGACUUGUCUGGACUUAUUCCUGUUUGAACCACAGUAUGGAAAAGCAUCCCAUCCUGACCUCAAAAUUUCUAGCAAUGGAAAAGUCUACCAUAACUUCUGCAACUACCAGAAUUUCUUUUCUCUGGCUGACAUUAAUUUACCUUGAUUUGAAAUCUGGGCAGUCCAUUCCCUUGAUCCUGUGGAAGCCUUCUCCAUGUGCUGAUUCCACUGUGCCAUCGUUAGAAACAGCGUGACUUGUGCAGCAGGUAGCUCGGCAAGAGUCAGAUCAAGGUAGCACGUUAGGCAGGGUAACUUCAUGAAUUCACCUUUUUUGGCUUUAAACUGAAAAUAUCCCCAGUUAGCACCUUUUCUGCUUGUGAAGGAUAUGUAGUCCCCAAAAGGUUGCAAGUUCAUCAAGCAGGGGUGCUCGCUGCUAGCGACACAGUCCUUCCUUACCAUCACUGUGCCUUGGGUUUGUGAAAGUUUAAUUAUCAAAGCAAUCAUUUGUCCAGUGUUGAAAAGCUGCGAGGAAAGAAAGAAAAGUCAAUAUGUUUGACCUCACUUCUGGGAGAGAAACUCCUGGGAGCCAUUACAAGUCAACUGUGGAAGAAUCAACACACUGAUUUUAAUGGAUGAGUCUGAAACAAAUUCUUUCCAAGAGCCAACAUUCUUCUGUUCUCCAGCUCGCACCCGAAUGAGCAGAGAUUUGAGAUGGUCCUCUGCCUCCUCGUGUGUCUGAGGACAGAGCAAGGGGAUAAGUGGAAAAUAAUUUAUCUGACCUUAAGGGAAAUGAAGUUUGUCAGGAUUUCCUCACAGUUGCAAAACCAGCAGUGAGAUAUUCAAAUGUGGCCAGACGUGACACGCUCAUUUUUCUCACUUAGGUCCUGGUUCUGGCAAACAUCUUGGGAAAGCACUUCAGUAUGUGCUGACGCUUAGACCUGGGUGCAAACCCCGUGCAGACCAGUGAAACUCAAGCACGUGCUUACAGAUAAGCAUGAAUGCACUCAAGUGCUGUCCUGAUUAGGGCAUGUGCUUAAGUGGCUCCUUGAGUUGGAGCCUCUGGCUUUGAACAGGCACUCCUAUUCUUCGUGUGUUAUGCAGAAGGAACUAACCAAAUACGAGCUUGUUUUCUGUAGCACUGACCAGAACCACCUCAAGCGCCAGGGCAGCAGACAUAAGCAGGAAAAUUGACUCUGAUCAUCCCUGGGGUCAUUUAACUAAAACACACAUUUCAGUCGAGCCAAGUGUUCGCCAGCGCUUUUCAACUCCCCUGGUGUCAAAACAAUUAGCAGAUCACAGCAGCAGCGAUUCGCUGGUGCUCCAAUAAAAGCAUCUGGCCAGCACAUGGGUAUCUGACACCAGCUCCUAAGCUCCUCCACGCACCGUCCGCUGCCUGCAGGACAACACGGCGUGGGUGACUCUUGUAUCUAAGGACAGAUUAUGCCAUUCAGCUUUUCAACCAUUUGAGAAAAGAUUAUUGCCUUAAUUCCUAGUGUGUCUAAAAUGAGGUGGGGAGCGUUGCUUCGGGCGCUGUUUGCAGGGCACUGCAUGAGCUCUCACAUCUGUGUUUUCAACACAAGCUGCAGAAUCCCCAAUAUGAAUUGGCACUGUUCAAGCUAGAACCCUGCAAGAGGCACGUAAACCUACUUUUAACGGGUUACCUCAGAUUUAAUCAACAAGUUGCUGCUUCUUUUUUUUCCCCUCCUCUCUAAUAGCAAGAAUUCCUCCCGUUAGCUGUACUCCCAUCCCACCUUGGCUACUCCAGUACACAGAAUGUGAUACUGAAGAAAACUUUUGUCUGGAUGAAAUUGUAGCUGUCUGGUUGGGAAUAUACAAGUGUAUGCUGACCAGCCUUUACAAGGCAUAGGGAAACAGAGUCAGCCUGUGUGGGUGAAAGUUUGGGGACUCAUUUAUGCUCUUGACAUUCUGAUACAAAACCAGAAAAAACAGCGGUUUGGUAAUGUGUGUAUCCCAGAGCAGCUGUGGCACUGUCUGAGCUGCUGCUGUCCUCCAAAUAUCAUUCCUAUCGGAAAGAAAUAGGCUACUUACAUCUACUUACACCAGUGCAUUUCUUUGAUGCUCCCAUGAUUUACAAACAGGGACGGAGUGAGCCCCCCUGCACGCACCUUCUGUUGGCUGCUGGUGGCUUUGGUUUGUUGUUCUCAUCUCCAAACGGGAUGGAGGCUGCAAAUAUCCUCCAGCAUCUCCUGCCAAGCAGUCUGUGAGAGAGGCCAAGCAGACAGCAGAUCUUCUGAAAUAUAGCCUAAAAAGCUGAGCUGCAAAUACUUACCCAGCAAGAAUAGGACACAGAUAGA